GGAUGGAGAAGCUGUCUUCAUUAAAGUAUGGGGAUUCUAGUGGGGGAUAUAGGUAGGAUGGAGAAGCUGUCUUCAUUAAAGUAUGGGGAUUCUAGUGGGGGGAUAUAGGUAGGAUGGAGAAGCUGUCUUCAUUAUAGUAUGGGGAUUCUAGUGGGGGGAUAUAGGUAGGAUGGAGAAGCUGUCUUCAUUAUAGUAUGGGGAUUCUAGUGGGGGGAUAUAGGUAGGAUGGAGAAGCUGUCUUCAUUAUAGUAUGGGGAUUCUAGUGGGGGGAUAUAGGUAGGAUGGAGAAGCUGUCUUCAUUAUAGUAUGGGGAUUCUAGUGGAGGGAUAUAGGUAGGAUGGAGAAGCUGUCUUCAUUAAAGUAUGGGGAUUCUAGUGGGGGGAUAUAGGUAGGAUGGAGAAGCUGUCUUCAUUAAAGUAUGGGGAUUCUAGUGGAGGGAUAUAGGUAGGAUGGAGAAGCUGUCUUCAUUAUAGUAUGGG
rnacentral:lncRNA from 1 species